UUGCUCCCUUCAGCAGCACAUAUACUAAAAUUGGAAUAAUGCAGAGAAGAUUAACAUGGCCCCUGUGAAAGGAUGACAUGCAAAUUUGUGAAGUGUUCCAUAUUUCA